AUGCCCAGGGCUACACACGUGCUACAAUGGGCGGUACAAAGGGUAGCGAUGCCGGCGAGGUGAAAGCCAAAUCCCAAAAAGCCGUCCACAGUUCGGAUUGGAGUCUGCAACUCGACUCCAUGAAGCCGGAAUCGCUAGUAAUCGUGGAUCAGCAUGCCACGGUGAAUACGUUCCCGGGCCUU
rnacentral:rRNA from 1 species